CUUCCUACGGGGGGCAGCAGUGGGGGAUAUUGCACAAUGGGGGAAACCCUGAUGCAGCGACGCCGCGUGUAGGAAGACGGUCCUCUGGAUUGUAAACUACUGUCCCCAGGGACGAAGAUGACGGUACCUGGGGAGGAAGCUCCGGCUAACUACGUGCCAGCAGCCGCGGUAAUACGUAGGGAGCGAGCGUUGUCCGGAAUUACUGGGUGUAAAGGGAGCGUAGGCGGGGAGGCAAGUUGGGUGUUAAAUCUACCGGCUCAACUGGGAGUCG
rnacentral:rRNA from 1 species